rnacentral:rRNA from 1 species
UACGUAGGGACCAAGCGUUGUUCGGAUUUACUGGGCGUAAAGGGCGCGUAGGCGGUGUGACAAGUCACUUGUGAAAUCUCUGAGCUUAACUCAGAACGGCCAAGUGAAACUGUUGUGCUAGAGUGCAGAAGGGGCAAUCGGAAUUCUUGGUGUAGCGGUGAAAUGCGUAGAUAUCAAGAGGAACACCUGAGGUGAAGACGGGUUGCUGGGCUGACACUGACGCUGAGGCGCGAAAGCCAGGGGAGCAAACGGG